UACGGAGGGUGCAAGCGUUAUCCGGAUUUACUGGGUUUAAAGGGUGUGUAGGCGGGCUUUUAAGUCAGUGGUGAAAUCUCCGGGCUCAACCCGGAAACUGCCAUUGAUACUAUUAGUCUUGAAUAUUGUUGAGGUAGGCGGAAUAAGUCAUGUAGCGGUGAAAUGCAUAGAUAUGACUUAGAACACCGAUUGCGAAGGCAGCUUACUAAACAAUUAUUGACGCUGAGGCACGAAAGCGUGGG
rnacentral:rRNA from 1 species